AUUGAACGCUGGCGGCAGGCCUAACACAUGCAAGUCGAGCGAGAGGCGGACGGGUGAGUAAUGUCUGGGAAACUGCCCGCUGGAGGGGGAUAACUACUGGAAACGGUAGCUAAUACCGCAUACCAUCAGAUGUGCCCAGAUGGGGUUAGCUAGUAGGUGGGGUAACGGCUCACCUAGGCGACGAUCCCUAGCUGGUCUGAGAGGAUGACCAGCCACACGGGAACGGAGACACGGUCCAGACUCCUACGGGAGGCAGCAGUGGGGAAUAUUGCACAAUGGGCGCAAGCCUGAUGCAGCCAUGCCGCGUGUGUGAAGAAGGCCUUCGGGUUGUAAAGCACUUUCAGCGAGGAGGCGUUACCCGCAGAAGAAGCCCCGGCUAACUCCGUGCCAGCCGCCGCGGUAAUAC
rnacentral:rRNA from 1 species